UACGGGGGGGCGAAGCGUUGUUCGGAAUUACUGGGCGUAAAGGGCUCGUAGGCGGCCAACUAAGUCGGACGUGAAAUCCCUCGGCUUAACCGGGGAACUGCGUCCGAUACUGGAUGGCUUGAGUUCGGGAGAGGGAUGCGGAAUUCCAGGUGUAGCGGUGAAAUGCGUAGAUAUUGGGAGGAACACCAGUGGCGAAGGCGGCUCACUGGACCGGAACUGACGCUGAGGCGCGAAAGCGUGGGGAGCAAACGGG
rnacentral:rRNA from 1 species